UUUGCUAUAGCAAGGAAUAUGGACAUUGUCUUUUGUGUUUGGCAGGGAUGCGAUGGUAUUCAAGGAAGUUGGAAAAGUGUAGUAGAAAAAUGGAAGGCUUUGAGGACACCUUGAUACAGUGGGGACACACUUCUUCCGUCAGUAACAGUGCACCUACUUCAUGUAUAUUUCAAAUACGCCUGGCGUGGUGGCGCAUGU